rnacentral:rRNA from 1 species
AGCGAACGCUGGCGGCAGGCUUAACACAUGCAAGUCGAGCGGGCAUAGCAAUAUGUCAGCGGCAGACGGGUGAGUAACGCGUGGGAACGUACCUUUUGGUUCGGAACAACUGAGGGAAACUUCAGCUAAUACCGGAUAAGCCCUUACGGGGAAAGAUUUAUCGCCGAAAGAUCGGCCCGCGUCUGACUAGCUAGUUGGUGAGGUAAUGGCUCACCAAGGCGACGAUCAGUAGCCGGUCUGGGAGGAUGAUCAGCCACAUUGGGACUGAGACACGGCCCAAACUCCUACGGGAGGCAGCAGUGGGGAAUAUUGGACAAUGGGCGCAAGCCUGAUCCAGCCAUGCCGCGUGAGUGAUGAAGGCCCUAGGGUUGUAAAGCUCUUUUGUGCGGGAAGAUAAUGACGGUACCGCAAGAAUAAGCUCCGGCUAACUUCGUGUCAGCCGCCGCGGUAA